rnacentral:rRNA from 1 species
AUGGUCUCCGCGGCGGCGGAGGAGGGCGAGGACCCGCGCUGGAGGAGGAGCAACACGGACUGCGUCUUCUUCCUCGUCUCCCGCGUCAGCUGCACCAAGGGGUCCAAGUGCGAGUACCGCCACUGCGAGGGCGCCCGGUUCAACCCCAGGAACUGCUGGUACUGGUUCCACGGCAGCUGCGUCAACCCAAGCUGCACCUUUCGCCACCCUCCAAUGGAAAAUUUCAACAGAACCAAGUCCUUGACAGUCCCACCCUCAUCAGAUGGUUCUAUUUCUGUCAAGACAGCCAAUCCUUGUUAUUUCUACUAUAGCUCUGGCUGCAAAAAAGGUGACAAUUGCCCCUUCCUACAUGAGCCAACCCCUAACACUGAAUCAGCGAUUUCUUCUGAGGCUACUACUUUCAAUCCUAUUGUCAAUGAAAAUUCCGCUGGAGAUGAGAUGGUUGAGGCAUCGAAGGAUGCUCACACAAGUCCUUGUCAGGACACCUUGUACCAUAUAAAGAAAUGCCACUCAAAAGAAGUUCCUGAGUCAAUAUAUCUCGAAUUUGAUGGUCCUAUUUCGGUCACGCCUGAAACAUCGAUUGACACUGGUGAAUACAUAAAGUGUUUCACCCACUCAGAUCAGAGCUCAGAAUAUUCAACAAUGGAGGACGCAGAGCAAGAUGGAAGUCGUGAUUCCUCCCCUGGAUUCGAUGUGCUCGUUGAUGAUGGGCUCUCUAACAAGAAUGACCUUGAGAAACAAUUGGCACAGAAAAGAGAUGCUCAGGUGCUUCAUGCGAAAUAUGAUAUUGGAGAUCCAGUCUGUUAUGAUCGGGAUUAUUAUGAUUCAUGGUACUAUGGGCAAGCAUUUUGUAGCUUUGAUGAUCAGCAUGGUUCUCUUAGUCAUCCUGAAGGAGUUCAAGACCCUGAUGUUGAGACCACUUUGGGAUACAUACCACACAAUACAAGAAAGCUUUCAAGGCCAAGUUCUGAUGAGUAUGAUAGAAUGUUCUUCAAUUCCAGCUUCAUCGGCUCAGCAGCAGAUGAUGUGUUUCCUCGUCAGCAUACUGAGACAAGACACACUUCAAAGAGAAGACCUGAGAAGAGAAAAGGUGCCAAGAGCAGGAAGGGUCGCACUAAGAGGCGUCGGGGUCUUGGACCCGUGAGUGGUUUCCAAGGCAUUGAAUCAAGAUCCACUCAUUACAGGCAAGAGUUCUUGAUGGAGGAGUGUCCUCAGUCUGUUGCCUGUGCUACCUUCAGGGGGCAGAAGAAGAAACGUAGAGGAAAACAGCACAAUGUAAUUUCUGCUAGAUCUUCUGAACAUCCUACCACAGAUUUUACUGGGCCAAAGACCCUAGCUCAGAUAAAAGAAGAGAAUUGUGUAUCUAAGUCACGCUUUAGCCACUCUGCUGCUCGCAUGCCUCAUGGGGGUUCUUUCUCAAAUGAUUUUGAAGGCCCAAAAUCUCUGACUGAGCUUCUCAAGGCUAAGGAUAGGGUUUCAAUUAGCCAGCGCACCUAG